rnacentral:rRNA from 1 species
GACGAACGCUGGCGGCGUGCUUAACACAUGUAAGUCGAGCGGAGCGGCGAACGGGUGAGUAACGCGUGAGUAACUGCCCCCCUCUCUGGGAUAACAGUAGGAAAGGGCUGCUAAUACGGGUAAGUGGGGGAUGACGAGCGUCCUAUAAGCUUGUGGGUGGGGUAGUGUCAGACCAAGGCGACGACGGGUAGCCGGCCUGGUAGGGCGACCGGCCACAGUGGGCUGAGAUACGGCCCAAACUCCUACGGGAGGCAGCAGUGGGGAAUAUUGCACAAUGGGGGAAACCCUGAUGCAGCAACGCGCGUGCGGGAUGACGGCCUUCGGGUUGUAAACCGCUUUCAGCCAUGACGCGGUAGUGGCAGAAGAAGCACCGGCUAACUACGUGCCAGCAGCCGCGGUAAUUC